rnacentral:rRNA from 1 species
ACAUCCAGAGAACUUGGCAGAGAUGCCUUGGUGCCUUCGGGACCUCUGAGACAGGUGCUGCAUGGCUGUCGUCAGCUCGUGUUGUGAAAUGUUGGGUUAAGUCCCGCAACGAGCGCAACCCUAUCCUUUGUUGCCAGCGAUUCGGUCGGGAACUCAAAGGAGACUGCCGGUGAUAAACCGGAGGAAGGUGGGGAUGACGUCAAGUCAUCAUGGCCCUUACGAGUAGGGCUACACACGUGCUACAAUGGCGCAUACAAAGAGAAGCGACCUCGCGAGAGCAAGCGGACCUCAUAAAGUGCGUCGUAGUCCGGAUCGGAGUCUGCAACUCGACUCCGUGAAGUCGGAAUCGCUAGUAAUCGUAGAUCAGAAUGCUACGGUGAAUACGUUCCCGGGCCUUGUACACACCGCCCGUCACACCAUGGGAGUGGGUUGCAAAAGAAGUAGAUAGCUUAACCUUCGGGAGGGCGUUUACCACUUUGUGAUUCAUGACUGGGGUGAAGUCGUAACAAGGUAGGCGUAGCGAG